UUUUCCCAGAUGUCAGUAGUACACUGUUUCAGCUCCUAGGGGAGGUGGUCCUAUUUUAAUUUUUGACCACUUUAUUUUUAGCAACGGGGAGUCUCCUUUUUAAUUUAGUUAAAUUUUUUAAUGCUAAAAGAAACCUUCUGUGCUACAAACUCCCCACAUGAGCCCAGCUGAUGUGAGUAUUCAGCUCAGGGCAGCUGAGAACGGAGCACAGCCACAAACAGAAGCAGCAUCAACAAAUCAUACAGGAGCUGAAAGUUCAGAGAGGGAACAGAGAACUGACCUACGUGGAGCAGGAAGAGCUUCUGACCGUUUCGAGUUUCAAUGUUUAUGGUAGUUUUUAAGGAGUUCUGUAGAACUGUUAAGUGAGUGGUGAGCAAUGUAGACUUAGCACAAAAUUGGAGUUGCGUUACCAAAUUCCCAGCUCUGUCUGGUCACCAGCUGUGAGCACAAAGACUGCAUUGCGUGUGAGCCAGAUUCCCUCCUAUGUGGCAAUCCACCCAAAUGAAGGGUAAACACAAAUGGCUUUUCUCAAGUUCUUCUGCUUUCAGGAAUUAAACUCAUCAACUUCAUCUUUAUAUUAUCAAAGUACUCUUGGGUUUUGAGAGCUUUCAACUCUACAUGGUUAUCACAGAUAGCCCUGCAAUGCGUGCCAGUCAACCAAGCGUGCAAUGAAAUUUACGUCAAAUUGUCUUUUGAACAAAAAUGUUUUUCUUUAAAAAAAAAUAAAGAUCAGUUUUCAUUAUAAUACUCAGAGCUUUGUACAUCAAAAGCUAGAAAUAUAGUAACCCCAUGUUUUUGGAUUUUGUUAUAGUAUUCAAAAGAAAUAGAGUUCCUUGCAAGUGAUAUGUACAUAAAAAGUACUCUCUUCCACUGGAGCAUAAUUGUAACAGCACUAAAAUAUUACACAACCUGAACACCAUGUCUUCCUUUCAGUGAAAUCUUGGGACGUGUUACAACUGUGAUGUCAAUCAUGUAUGUUGUAACACAUCCUGACUUACUGCCUUCUCUGAUCAUCCUGUGGUGAUAGAGAUGUGUGCUGUGCUUCUCUCUUCCUCUUCCUUAGGAUUUUUUUUUUCAAUGGGGAAAACAUAUCAGGCCUUUAUAAGGCCUAUUAAACAUACGUGUUUCUUCUGAUAUGUGAGUGCUGAAAGUGAAGUCUCACAUGGGGAAAUUGCUGCUUUGGUUUAACUCAUGAUGCUUAGCUAAAAUUAAAAGUAAAUGGAAGGAUAACUGAGUAAUCAUCAUCUCAUAAUGCUGCAGCAUCUGUAUGGAUUGAAUAAAAAGUUUGGCAAUCUCUGGAAGUACAUAAAAGAUUGAUACUGAGUUUACUCAGUGAACUGUUAUUAUUAAUUAGUAAUUAGUAGUGAUAAUAGUGAUAACCUGCACAGUACAGAAAAUGGAGUCAAUCCAUUCUCAGCAGCAUAAGUUUGAUUGAAUUGUUAUUUGUGAAGGGUCUGAUUUUGCUGGUGCAUUUCCAUGUUUUAAUCUCAAUGUUUUCUUUAACAGUUUUCUGCCCCAAGCAGUUACUCUCAUAGUAGUUGGUUAUAAACUCUUGAUAUAUCCUAUCUGAAGAGAAACAAAGCACUUGAUGAGCAAGAAGAGGAGUGUAAAUUAAUGAGAGUGGGAAAGCUGUUUUACAGGCCAAUAACCUGAUACCAAAUGCAUGUAGACCAGAAAUAGGCAUUUCUACAGAGAUCUGUGCUCUAUAAUAAAAGCAGUACAGUGCUAC
rnacentral:lncRNA from 1 species